UUCGCAAUGCCCGAAAGGGUGACGAAGCGACGCCGCGUGCGGGAAGAAGGCCUUCGGGUUGUAAACCGCUGUCGGGAGUUAAGAAAUGCAAGGAUGUUAACAGCGUCCUUGCUUGACUAUGGCUCCGGAGGAAGCCACGGCUAACUCUGUGCCAGCAGCCGCGGUAAUACAGAGGCGGCAAGCGUUGUUCGGAAUUAUUGGGCGUAAAGAGCACGUAGGCGGCCGUGUAAGUCGGUUGUGAAAGCCUUCCGCUCAACGGAAGGACGGCAUCCGAUACUGCAUGGCUCGAGUGCGGGAGGGGAGAGUGGAAUUUCUGGUGGAGCGGUGAAAUGCGUAGAUAUCAGAAGGAACACCGGCGGCGAAGGCGACUCUCUGGCCCGUAACUGACGCUGAGUGUGCGAAAGCUAGGGGAGCAAACGGGAUUAGAUACCCCGGUAGUCCUAGCCGUAAACGAUGGGCACUAAGUAGAGGGGUUUU
rnacentral:rRNA from 1 species